ACGUGCCUAGAAAAGCGCUGAGUGAGGUUCCAGUCAAGAACGCCAUUGUCUACUCACCACAAAAAUCACAGGAAAGAGGAAAAGAGCGUCUCCAGCAAUGUGAAAGCCCAAACAGAGGGGUUGCCUCAUGGAGGGAAGCAGUUGCGAUCACUCCAGUGCUCCAGAAAACACUUCAUUCCCAGCAAGGCAGCCCCUGGGUUUCCCUCAGCCUCUCAGCCAUGUUUCCUCCCUCUACCUGCCGGAGUCCAGCUGAAUGGCGGCUCCAGCCACACAGCGCAUUCAGGACAAUCUGGCUUCUGGCAGGUCGUUCUGAGAUACUCCAUAGACCAGCUGUGCCCCCAGCCACAUCGCUCAGAUAAGAAGGUGCCAUCUGGCCACCCUCAGUGACCCUCUGCUCUGCAUUGCUGUGGGGCCAAGCAUCAGGGAUUCCCCCACCCAAGGAAAACACACUGCCAGGCUCUUUCUCUGUGCUGAGUGCACAGGGUAUUUCCCCUCCCCCUCCCCGGGUCCUUUGGGACCUGCACCCCACAUUUGCACCCCUUGCUCCUCCCGCAGGCCCAGGUUGCCUCUCCUCUGGUCUGCUUAAUGUCUCCCACGUUCCUGGGUCCCCAAGCUGAGCUGUAAAGAUCCAGGAGAUG
rnacentral:lncRNA from 13 species